rnacentral:rRNA from 1 species
UACAGAGGUCCCGAGCGUUUGUUCGGAUUCAUUGGGCGUAAAGGGUGCGUAGGCGGCGGGGCAAGUCUGAUGUGAAAUCCCGGGGCUCAACCCCGGAACUGCAUUGGAUACUGCCUUGCUAGAGUACUGGAGAGGGAACUGGAAUUUACGGUGUAGCGGUGAAAUGCGUAGAUAUCGUAAGGAAGACCAGUGGCGAAGGCGGGUCUCUGGACAGUUCCUGACACUGAGACACGAAGGCCAGGGGAGCAAACGGG